rnacentral:rRNA from 1 species
CAGCAGCCACGGGAAUACAGAGGGUGCGAGCGUUAAUCGGAUUUACUGGGCGUAAAGCGUGCGUAGGCGGCUUCUUAAGUCGGAUGUGAAAUCCCUGAGCUUAACUUAGGAAUUGCAUUCGAUACUGGGAAGCUAGAGUAUGGGAGAGGAUGGUAGAAUUCCAGGUGUAGCGGUGAAAUGCGUAGAGAUCUGGAGGAAUACCGAUGGCGAAGGAAGCCAUCUGGCCUAAUACUGACGCUGAGGUACGAAAGCAUGGGGAGCAAACAGGAUUAGAUACCCCCGUAGUCCCUGUCUCUUAUAC